AGAGUUUUGGCGGUUGAUUGUUGCAUGUGCGGGUGUUCUGUGUCGGUGUACAGUUGAUAAAAUCAUGUGAAAAGAACAAUUGUCCUUGGCGGCUGUUCAUUUCAUUUGAUCUCUAAAACUUGAUACGUAGAUUUCCAAGUGCUCGGAAAUGUUCUUCUGACUCAUCUCUCUUCGUUUUUCCCUUGGUGGAAUUUGGAACCAAAUACUAAAAAACCAAAGUGAAAUGAAGUAUUCGAUUAAAGCGUUGACGAAGAAAGUGGAUGAAAUGGAUACCAUGAUGAGAAUAAAAUAUUCACAAAUAACCAGCUCAUCUGGAUCCAUCAAUGACAGCAUGUUUGUUGAUAAACUGCCAUGCAGUAGCUCAGACGAUUCAAAUGCAUUGGACAGUUGCAUCAUGGACGAUCAAAUUUUUUCAGACUUGGUAUGGUACCCACUUACAGUAUAGUACAUUCAUAUAAGAAUAUGAACAAACUUUGUAGGUCAACUUUUUGUAUCUAGUAGGUGGAGAAACUGUCACUAAAACGAUAUAUAUGAUAAUGAAAAAAUUGAUAACAAAUACUCUUGCAACAAAUUACUCUGGUGUUGGCAAAAAGCACAAAUUGCCUUUUUGCAACUUAAAAAAACUUACAGUACAAUUUUAGGUAAAAUAUUAUAUUAAGAUCAAGCACAUUAAAUAAUAUUGUCUUUUGCAACGGCAUCAGACGAACAAAUUAAGAAAACUGUUUCGUUAUAGUUGGCCCAAAGCAAAAAUCGAAUUACACAUACAAAAGUUUAGUUUAAAUUUACUCUGAA